AUGGCAGGCGGCGGCGGGAAGGUGGCCUGCGCGGCGUGGAUCCGGCGCCGGGAGGACAAGGCCACCCGCGUCUUCGCGGUGCACGGCCGGCCCUCCCCGCCGGCCCUGGAGGUCCUCGGCUUCGACUCCGGGAGCUGCUCGCUCUCCGAGGAGGCCCUGGCGAGAAUCGUGCUCGGGGAGGACCCAGACGACGCGCCGCUCGCUGUCGCGGUGCACCCCACCGGCGACGAGCUCGUGUGCGCCACGGCCAAGGGGUGCAGGCUAUUUAAACUGAUUUUUGAAGAGUUCACCGUUCGCUUUAUUGAAAGUAAAGCUCCAGCGAUCGAAUCUGUUGGACUGCAGAAAUGUCUUGCCUUCAGCACAGAUGGUGCUAAAUUUGCUAUUGGUGGUGAGGAUGGGCAUCUAAGAAUAUUUCAUUGGCCAAGCAUGAAGGUGCUCCUAGAUGAACCCAACGCUCAUAAAUCCUUCAGAGACAUGGAUAUCAGCUUAGAUUCAGAGUUUUUAGUUUCAUCGUCUACUGAUGGUACUGCAAGAAUUUGGAAGAUAAAUGAGGGGGUACCAUUGGUCAACUUGACUCGAUCUUCGGACGAGAGGAUUGAGUGUUGCCGCUUUUCUAGGGAUGGCAUGAAACCGUUCCUGUUUUGCACAGUUGCAAAAGGUAGCAAAGCUGUCACUGUUGUUUGGAACAUAAGUGAUUGGUCUAGAAUUGGGUACAAAAGACUACUGGGAAAACCUGUCUCCACACUUUCAGUUAGCUUGGAUGGGAAGUUUCUGGCUUUAGGAAGCCACGAUGGUGAUUUUUGUGUUGUGGAUGUAAAGGAGAUGGAGAUUUCUCACUGGAGCAAGAAGGUUCAUCUUGGUUCCCCAGUAUACGGAAUUGAAUUUUGUCCUACUGAAAGAGUUGUAAUCUCCACAUCGCCGCAAUGGGGAGCAGAGCUGACAAGACUGAAUGUGCCUGCUGACUGGAAAGAAUGGCAAAUCUGGCUCAUACUUUUGGCGCUCUUCCUUGCAUCAGCCGUCCUGUUCUACGUAUUCUACCAGAACUCCGGUUCCUUCUGGAGCGGAACGCCCCGACGGGACGUCAUCGACCUACCAAGCCAUGCAGAGUUCUGA
rnacentral:rRNA from 1 species